rnacentral:lncRNA from 1 species
GAAGAUCAAACGUCUAAAAACAAAAAGUUCUCUUCUCAUAUUCCUGUAGUCUUUCUGUUGUCCUUCAUCACCAUCCUCAAUCAACCUCCGCCUACUGUAAUAUCUGAACCAUCAUUUCUCUGGGCAAGGUGAGUAUUGUUCUCCAUUUUAAUCCUAUUGCUGCCAAUAUAUGCACAUGCUCAUUUACUGUCCGUCUUACAUGUUGAAAUUUGCUUUCAUGAAAACCCUUAAUCAGUUCCUUAAUGUCUUGAAUAUAUGGUCCUAUUACCGAUUUAUCUCCACUUUUUCCUUUGACUCGCUUGAUAACCGUCAGAGAGUCUCAUUCAAUUUCAACAUAAUUUAAUCCCAGACCCUUUCCUAUUUUCACUGCCUGUAGACAUGCAAUGGCUUCGGCUGCAAAUCCCGAAGGAACAUUCUCAUGUAUUGUGGUUUUCGAAGCCAAGACAUCCCUAUUACAGUCUCGGACGAUGACUCCUGAGUAGGAUCUAUAUUUUUUUUUAUAUCCACUGCAGCAUCGAAAUUAAUUUUGCAGAACCCUUGCUCCAGAGGUCUCCAGAGUUCGGUAGGCGGUCUUAAGGUAGGGGAUAUUUGCUUGAUAUUAUUUAGCCCUUGGAAAUACUGUAAAAUAAAUAUUUCUAUUUCUGCUCCAGAUCUCCUUCGACCUUCAUGGAUACACUGAUUCCUAGCAGACCAGAUAGCCCAAAUGGCGCAAACAUAGGCUCGACAGACAUCUUUCUCACUAUUCAGCAUAAUCCAGGUAAACCAAUCCAAGAACUCCAACUGAGAUAACUCCUGGGGCCAGGCGUAAUUUAAUUUAUCCCAUGUCUUUUUUGUAACAGCGUAGUCACAAAAGAUAUGCUCCUUAUUUUCUAGUCCUUGCAUGACCGCCUUGUUUGUUAAUCGUUUAAUUCUGAGAUUUACUAGAGUAGGCAAAUAGUUCAAAGUGGCUCUCCAAACUGUAAUAAGUAAUUUUGAAGGGAAGUUACUAUUCCAUAGCUUUUUGUAACAUUUUCUGAUUUCGAUCGGGCUGUAUCUAUUAUCAUUAAGCAAAUUACCAUGUAAUAGGAUUUUGUACCCUCUCCUUACUGUAUACUCACCUGUUGACUCCCCCCUCCAAGCCAGAAAGUCAUCAUGGGGAUUCUUAAUCAGCUGAAUUUGGAGAAUUUUUUGGGCAUCACCAGUUGAGAAGGUAUGUUCGAUCAAUUAUGUUUUCCAAGAUCUAGUGUUGUUGUCGAUCAGAUUUCCUACCCUCGUUAUGUUCUGGUUUCUCGCCAAUUAUUGAAUGUGUGAAUUUUCAGCAUUUGAAACCCAAACAUCCUCUUCAAUUCUAACGUCACGUCCAUUGCCAAUUCUCCAACAAAGACCUGUUAACAAGAGACCUUUUGCAGCCCACAUACUUUUCCAAGUAUAUGAUGGUAAGUUUCCUAGAUCUGAAUUUAAGAAAUUAGUGUUCGGGUAGGAUUUUGCUUUUAAAGUUUGUGCUAGAAGAGAAUUCAGAUUUUCAAUUAGUUUCCAACCUUGCUUUGCAAGAAAGGCAAGGUUGAAUUUUGCUAAGUUGUGAUAUCCAAGACCGUCAUUCUCCUUCAAUUCACAUAAAUUACUCGAUGAACACCAAUGUAUCUCACGUCUCCCAUGCCUUUUUUGCCACCAGAAUUUUGCUAUUGUUUGUUCCAUUUCUUCACAUAAAAAUUUUGGUAAAAGAAAACAUCCCAUCGUAUAAGUAGGAAUUGCUUGUAAAACAGUCUUUAUGAAGACUUCUUUCCCUCCCUGUAAUAACAAUCUUGUACUCCAGGUAUCGAUUUUCAUCUUGAUGCGGUCUUUAAGUGUUGAAAAGCCUGACGUCUCUUUCUGCCCACCAUGUUUGAGAGACCCAAAUAUUUCUCAGAGUUGUUUGACCUUUUGACCCCCAAUCUAUUUGAAAUAUUUCAUUGGACCAUAUCAUUAGUGUUUGAGCUAAAGAACACAGUUGAUUUCCCAUAAUUCACGUAUUGCCCUGAACAACUUUCAUAUUCUUUUAACACUUUUUUGAAAAUUUCUGUACCUUUUUCAGAGGCUUCCCCAAAUAGAAUACAAUCGUCAGCAAAAAGGAAAUGAGUAAUCUGAAGGCUUCUUCUACUUGUCUUAACUCCUCUCAAAAGCCCUUCCUCUCUUGCAAUUCUUAAUAAAGUAGAUAAACCCUCACUACAAAUGAGGAAUAAAAAGGGAUUCAAAUGAUCCCCUUGGCAUAAGCCUCUCUUUGGAAUAAAUUUUUUCUCUACCAUGCCUUUUAGAACAACCGAGUAUGAGAUUGUAUUUAUGUAGUUCUAAUAAGUCGAAUCCACCUUUUAUCAAAACCCAUUCUGGCCAUCAUUUGCUUCAAUAAUUCCCAUUCCACCCGAUCAUACGCCUUGCUCAUAUCAAUCUUAAGUGCCAUAAAUCCCUUUUUUCCCACCUUUUUCUUCCGCAUAGAAUUAAGAAUCUCAUAGGCGAGCAAGGCGUUAUCAGUGAUUAGUCUUUCCGGUACAAAGGCACUUUGAGCCGGAUCAAUGCAAUAAUCAAGAACUUUUUGAAAUCGAUUUGCAAUAGUUUUUGAGAUUAUUUUAUAAAAAACCGAGCAAAGACUAAUUGGUCUAAAUUUUGAUGGAUUUUUCAGGAGAGGUGUCUUUGGGAUUAAAACAAUAUUUGUAUGAUUUAAGACUUCUAAAGAUUGUCCUUUAUUAAGAACUACUAAGCAAAAAUCACUAACCUCUUUUCCCACCAUGUGCUAGAAUGUCUGAAAGAAAAUAGCUAGGAAACUGUCAGGGCCAUAAGAUUUUGUCAGGCCAAUACCAUUAAGUGCCUCAAUAAUUUCUUCUUCAUUAUAUUCUGUAGUUAACAUGUGGUUCAUUUCUUCACUAAUACUCCGAUCAACACCUGAAAAAGGGUGGCUAGUAUCGCCAAUCCCAUUAGAAUGAAAUAUCCUCACGAAGUAGUCUCGUAUAAUCUCUUCUACUUCUUCCUCUUCUGUUCUAAUUGUCUUCCAACCUUUGUAUUUUAUUUAUUCUAUGUCUCUAAGAUGCUAUGCUAUGGAAGAAAGCCGUAUUUUUAUCCCCUUGCCGCAACCAAUUUGCUCUAGCUCUUUGUUCUUUGUACAACUCCUCCUUCUCCAUCUCCCAAUUUAACUCUAAUUUCACAUCAACUAUCUCUGCCAAAAUAUUAUCAUCCCUAUCCAUUCCAUUGAGCUUGACUAGGCGUUCACGAAGAUUCUUUGACCUCUUUCUCCAAUUUGCCUUAAUGUUUUUUCCCAUGUCUGUAGACCAACCCGGGUGUGUUCCAAUUUUUCCAAGACAUUACCAGACUUCUCUGUCCAUACUUUCUUGAUAAAUCCCUCACAUGAAGGCUCAAUUAUCCACCAAGACUCAAAUUCAAAAAAAAUUAUUUCUAGAACGUUUCAUAUUUGGCACAGUCUGGAUGAGAAUUGGGCAAUGAUCAGAAAAAGAGUGGGGUAGAUUUUGUAUCGAGUAAUCACUAAAUAAAUUCAUCCAUUCCAGAUUUGCAACCCCCCUGUCGAGUCUCUCUUUUAUAUUUGUCUCUUCGAAAUUACCCCUUUCUCAUGUAAACUUUUGCCCACUGAAACCCAUAUCGGCUAGACCACAUUCUUUUAAAACUCCCCGAAAUUCCUCCAUUUGUCUUUCAUCCUUUACUCUCCCUCUAAUUUUUUCAUGUAUGUACAUAAUCUCGUUAAAAUCCUCGUAUACACACCAUGGCAAUGGACAGAUAUUUCUUAAUUAUCGAAGUAAGUUCCAAGACUCAUGUUUAUUUGAUUAAUGUGGAUUACCAUAGAACCCAGUGAACAGCCAUUUGUUUUGACUAUCUUCUUCGUUAAUUUCCACAUCAAUAUGAUAGGUUGAAUAGUUGUAAACUUGAAUUAAAUUAUUGCAUGCAUUAGGUCUUUCUUGUCGCACUCAGGAGGACAUGGACCUGCCUUUAUCCAGAACGGAGAGUAAAUAAGCUUGAUCUUAUUUCUUUCAAUAGGUUGAACCAACCUAUCAAAGAUGAUUAGUUGCUUUCGAAGGAGCCAUGGACGUUCCUCCAAAAUUUGUUUCAAAUCUUCCUCAUCUUUGAAAGAAAUCGUAAACAAAUUCUGACCUGCAAUAAAUAUAUCGAAUUUCUUUUUUGUCUUCCAAAUUCUCUUCAACUGUGCCCUCAAGCUAUCUGGAUUAUAUGUUUUCUUCGUUCAAACUGAACAUAGUAACAUCGGGUUCUUACAUGGAACCAUUAGAGAGCUUUUCACCGUUAGUUUGAUUAACUCUUUUUCGAAAAAGGCAAAUUCGUUUUGAUCCACCAUCGUUCCAAAGCCACCACUCAUCUUCUUCCCAACCACAGUAUUUACUAUUUCUUCGGGAGACCUAAGAGAGCACUCUUGACUCUAUUCGAUGGUGUCCUUGAACCACUCUAAUAUUCUAAAUAUUUAAAGGAAUUAUCAAAUGAAAUGUUGUAAUACCGGCUCAUAUUUGUAAAGUACAUGUAAAUAUUUGGAUUAUGUAUGUUAAGAGUUAGGUUGAUUUAUGUUUUUAAUUAUGUUCACACCAAUUUUUGCCCGGCCCAACAAUUAAAACCCAAGGCAACCCAUUAACCCCAAAAUAAACCCCAAUUAAACCUAGCCCACCAAGCCCACAACUUUUCAAUUCAGAAAAACAAAAGAAAACCUUAGGUGCGCCGCACCUAGGUCUGCCCUUAUCCCAUCCACCACCACUGGCGUGUCUGCCACCCCCACCUGUUCCACCACCACCGACUAGCCUGCAAAAAUAAAAUAAACACGCAAGCAAUAGAUUAAAAAGGCAUGGUGAAAGGGCUAUAAAAAGGGAAGAAAACCGAAUGUGAGGGGGUUCUUUUUUUUUGAAAAAAAAGAGAUUAUCAAUACAAACAGUAGGUGUUCAAAUACAAAAACAAAUCAAAAACAGAUAGCAGUUGAAGAAGAAAACGAUUCGUUGUCAAGGUUUCCUCUUUUAUUGUAUAUAUUUUCCUAUUUUCGAAUCUAUUUCCUCGCAUAUAUACGACUAUUACAAACAUAAAAAAAUAUAUAAAAAAAACCGUACCUUUUGGAGUUUCGGCCACCGCACGCGGUGGCUGGUGGCGACCCUACGGCAGUUUUUUCGCUGAAUUCUGGCUUUGGCCAAAGAGAAAUGAGAGACCCCCCCCCCUUUUCAGAAACAAGGGAAAAUGAAUUUUUUAUAAAAAAUUUUGCUUUUAUAACACUAAAGAAACGACGUCAUUUUCACUGGCCUCCCCAAACCCCAAAACGACGUCGUUUUGGGGAGGCCGACCCAAUCUGACCCGCCUUUGUUGAAGAUCUGCGUGUUUUUUACGGAAGGGCUAAUUUCACUUUUAGCCCUUCCGCUUUUUAUUACUUUGCAAUUAAGCUUUUUCUUUAUUUUAAUCUCACCUUAAACUUGUGCUUGGAGUUCAAUUGGGUCCCUCUUGGUGCUGUGCGUUUAGAGAGGAUGGAAUAUUGCCCAUUUUGGUCCUCCCUUGUUAUCCGCGCGCCUAAAUUGGUCCUUUUCUUUGUACUUUUAUUCCAAAUUCGCCCCGAACUCCUAUUUUAAGUUUAAUUUAGUCAUUUUAGUUAUUUUUGCUAUUUUACCAUUAUUAUUAUUAUUAUUAUUAUUUGUAUCCUUAUUAAUAUAUUAUUAUCAUUUCCUCCUAUUAUUAUUAACCUAUUAUUAUUCUUAUUAGUAUAUUAUUAUUUCCUAUUCUUUAUAUUAUUAUUAUUAUUAUUCAUGUAUAUAUUAUUAUUGUUAUUAUUGUUAUUAUUAAUAUUCUUAUCGUUACUAUUAUUUUUAUUCCUUUUAUUAGUUAUUAUCAAUAUAUUAUUAUUAUUACCACUGUAUUUUAUCAUUAUUAACAUUUUUUUAUUACUGUCACCAUUAUAUUUUUUUAUUUUUUUAUUAUUACUAAUUUUUUUAUGAUCAUUAUUACUAUAGUAUUAUUAUUACUACUAUAUUUUCAUCUACAUAGAUUUUCUUGUUACUUACCUAUUUAUAUUUCUAUAUAUUUAUAUUUUCGAUAUUAUUGUAUUUUAAGCAUUAUACCUAUAUUAUCAUUUCACUAUUGUUAUAUUUUUCAUAUUAUUAUUAUCACUACUAUUACUAUCAUUUUCUAAAUAGUUUUACAUAAUAUUUAUUUAUUACUAGUUCUUUUUAAUUUCAAAUAUUUUUUUAGCUUAUUUAUUAUUUCUUUUUUAUUUUAGCUUAUUCAUUUUACCCAUUUGUUUUAUCUUUUCUCCUAUCAUUAUUAUCUUUCACAUUCGUGUUUAUGUUUAUUAUGUUAUGCCUGUCAAUACCGAAUUUUUUAUUUGUUUAUGCAUUCUCUAUUAUCUCGUUUUAUUACGAAUUUAUGUUUUAUCCGACCCAAAAUUAAUUCUUUUAUAAAGGCAAUGAUUCGUAUUUGGAAUUUCGAGAAAAUCGUGUCCUAACUUAUUGGAUUUCGAUUUUUCUCAUUUAAUCUAAAUAACGGAAUAUUCUUUUAAAAUUGCAACACGAAUUUUGAAUAAAAUGCUUAUUCUCUGAGAUACGAGGUGUUGUGUCCUAACUUACUAGAUAUGACAUCUUGUUACCUCGAGAUAAGAUUUUUGCAAACAAAGGCAAUAUUCGGUAUUUGGAAGUUCGAGAUAUCGUGCCCUAACUUUCUGGGUUUCGAUUUUUCUCGUUUACUCUAAAUAAUCGAAUACCCUUUUAAAAAGUUAAAAUACUCGAAUUUUAAAUAAAAGGCAAGCUCGUUCUCGAAAAUUCAAGAUGUUGUGUCCUAACUUACUGGAUGUGACAUUUUAUUAUUUCGAGACGAGAAGUUCUUUAACAUUCAAGUGUUUCUAUAAAAAGAGGGAUCGUAUUUUAAAGUCUUUCGAGUUUUCAAAGUUUCGACACUAAGUCACUAAUUAAUCAACUAGGUAUCAAUUUUUGAGUGUCACGAGGGUGCUAAUCCUUCCUCGUACGUAACCAACUCCCGAACUCAUUUUCUAAUUUUCGUAGACCAAAAAAUUAUCGCUUUAAUAAAUCUUAACUUUUAUUAAAAUGAUUAAUUUAAAGUGACUUGAUCACACCUCAUAAAAAAGAAUUGGUGGCGACUCUCAUUUUUUCGUUUUUAUUUCUAAAAUAAAGUUAACACGUUUUCCAAAAAUUGGUUUCGACAAGUUAUAAAAUCUAUUUUGUUAUGGAAUUGUUAGUAUGCUUUGAUUACGUGGUAUAUUAGACUUCAGUAGAACACCAUUCAAACUUUGCAAGUUCAAAGUACUAGUUAAAUUUUUUUGUGUGCAGGUAAUUGCUGGAUCGUGAGUUUGAGACAUCAAAGUAGCAUUGACCCAAAGUCCUCGCAUUUUCGCUGAGUUAGUAAAGACCCUUGUAUUAUUAUAGCGUUUGGCAUAUACUUAAAAUUUGAUAAUUUGUUCAAUUCGGUUACUUUGGUUUUAUUUUAGAAUUUGUCGAUUUUUGGCUAUUUGUGUGUUUAAAUUUAUGUUUUAAUGUGUAAUGAUUGAACAACUGAUCGAAUAGGUCAGUUUGAUAAUCACUAUGACGCUCCAAAUUUGAUCGAAUUUUAUGUUUUUUUUCCGAUGAGAGAAUUUUUAAUCACGUUUAAAUAUCAAUGUCAUCGAGAGAAAUGGA